UACGAAGGGGUCUAGCGUUGCUCGGAAUUACUGGGCGUAAAGCGCACGUAGGCGGAUUGUUAAGUCGGGGGUGAAAUCCUGGAGCUCAACUCCAGAACUGCCUUCGAUACUGGCGAUCUCGAGUCCGGGAGAGGUGAGUGGAACUGCGAGUGUAGAGGUGAAAUUCGUAGAUAUUCGCAAGAACACCAGUGGCGAAGGCGGCUCACUGGCCCGGUACUGACGCUGAGGUGCGAAAGCGUGGGGAGCAAACAGG
rnacentral:rRNA from 1 species